rnacentral:tRNA from 1 species
AGAAAAAUAAGUUAAUUAAACUAUUUGGUUCAUGCCCAAAAAAUAUAGUAUUCUAUUUUUUCUG